AGUAGCUGGUCUGAGAGGAUGAGCAGCCACACUGGGACUGAGACACGGCCCAGACUCCUACGGGAGGCAGCAGUGGGGAAUUUUCCGCAAUGGGCGAAAGCCUGACGGAGCAAUACCGCGUGAGGGAGGAAGGUCCUUGGAUUGUAAACCUCUUUUAUCAGGGAAGAAGUUCUGACGGUACCUGAUGAAUAAGCAUCGGCUAACUCCGUGCCAGCAGCCGCGGUAAUACGGAGGAUGCAAGCGUUAUCCGGAAUUAUUGGGCGUAAAGCGUCCGUAGGUGGUUAUGCAAAUCUGCCGUUAAAGAAUGGAGCUUAACUCCAUAGGAGCGGUGGAAACUGCAAGACUAGAGUACAGUAGGGGUAGCAGGAAUUCCCAGUGUAGCGGUGAAAUGCGUAGAUAUUGGGAAGAACAUCGGUGGCGAAAGCGUGCUACUGGGCUGAAACUGACACUGAGGGACGAAAGCUAGGGUAGCGAAUGG
rnacentral:rRNA from 1 species